rnacentral:rRNA from 1 species
UACGGGGGGGGCAAGCGUUGUUCGGAAUUACUGGGCGUAAAGGGCUCGUAGGUGGCCAACUAAGUCAGACGUGAAAUCCCUCGGCUUAACCGGGGAACUGCGUCUGAUACUGGAUGGCUUGAGUUUGGGAGAGGGAUGCGGAAGUUCCAGGUGUAGCGGUGAAAUGCGUAGAUAUCUGGAGGAACACCGGUGGCGAAGGCGGCAUCCUGGACCAACACUGACACUGAGGAGCGAAAGCCAGGGGAGCAAACGGG